rnacentral:rRNA from 1 species
UACGAAGGGGGCUAGCGUUGCUCGGAAUCACUGGGCGUAAAGCGUGCGUAGGCGGUUCGUUAAGUCUGUUGUGAAAGCCCGGGGCUCAACCCCGGGAGGCGGAUGGAUACUGCAAGGCUCGAGUACGGAAGAGGCGAGUGGAAUUCCCGGUGUAGCGGUGAAAUGCGCAGAUAUCGGGAGGAACACCAAUGGCGAAGGCAGCUCGCUGGGACGUUACUGACGCUGAGACGCGAAAGCGUGGGGAGCAAACAGG